AGCAGCCGAGUCAAAUUCAGUGUUGUGUCCUUCAUUGCAAUCACUGGCCCAAACGGCUGCCACACAAUCCAUGCAGCACAUGGGCCUGGCGCCUGUCUCGGUGCCCAGGAUAAAGAAUUGCUGCUGACAGAG
rfam:Xenopus laevis strain J chromosome 6L, whole genome shotgun sequence.